GACGAACGCUGGCGGCGUGCUUAACACAUGCAAGUCGAACGGUAAGGCCCUUCGGGGUACACGAGUGGCGAACGGGUGAGUAACACGUGGGUGAUCUGCCCUGCACUUCGGGAUAAGCCUGGGAAACUGGGUCUAAUACCGGAUAGGACCAUGCGCCUCACGGUGUGUGGUGGAAAGCUUUUGCGGUGUGGGAUGGGCCCGCGGCGUAUCAGCUUGUUGGUGGGGUAAUGGCCUACCAAGGCGACGCAGGGUAGCCGGCCUGAGAGGGUGACCGGCAACACUGGGACUGAGAGACGGCCCAGGCGCCUACGGGAGGCAGCAGUGGGGAAUAUUGCACAAUGGGCGCAGGCCUGAUGCAGCGACGCCGCGUGAGGGAUGACGGCCUUCGGGUUGUAAACCUCUUUCAGUAGGGACGAAGCGCAAGUGACGGUACCUACAGAAGAAGGACCGGCCAACUACGUGCCAGCCGCCGCAGUAA
rnacentral:rRNA from 1 species